rnacentral:piRNA from 1 species
UGUCAGACAGGAUGUUCUAGUGGGCACA